UCCUACCUAGUGGUCCUACCUAGUAGUCCGGCCUGGUGGUCCUACCUAGUGGUCCUACCUAGUAGUCCUACGUAGUGUCCUACCUAGUAGUCCGGCCUGGUGGUCCUACCUAGUGCAUAGAGGCAAGUUCUCUCAAACAAAUGAUGAUGUUCGGGACCUGCAGCCAAGACGCAGGGCUCAGAAGCUGCAGUUCCUCUCUCGGCCACUAGGCGCUGGAUGGAAGAAAAACAGAGUGAAAAAGAACCUUUUUUAUAGAACAAAGAAACAUAAUUCAUCUCUCCUGUUUUACUUGCAAUGUGGUGACCUGUGUUUCUUUUUGUCAGAGCUUUGACUCAUAGCUAAAUCCUUUAUUUGUCCCACAAAUUUGAAUUUGCAAAAAAUAUAUAAUUCUAACAUCAUUUUGUAGCGUUUUCUGCUGCAAUGGAUGAAUGGCUCCAACUGCAGAAGCGAAGCCUCCAGCAGUUCAUCUCUGUGAUGCCGAUAUUCACGUAGCUCAAGCCAACCUAAACGUACCGCUUCCCCUUCCAACAAAACCAGCUGGCAUAGAUGUUCACUAGAUUACCUAAGCUCAUCCCAUGAAACCCCACGGACUGCAUCACAGCGGAGGACUGCCGUCACACUGAGACCCCCCCUCUUUUGACAACGAGGCCUGGCUCUGCACGGCGUGGAGGGUCAUACACGCUCAGUCAUGACAGCCGGUGAUAAAUCAAUCAACAUAAUAAGGUGCUGAGUUCCACGAGAACCAGAAGCAGCUUGUGUUGUAAAUGUUUUAGCAUGAGACUUGGAUGACACGGCACGGGUCUGUACAUUUCUGUCUUGAUAUGGUUUUGCUGUUUUUAAAACUGUCCCCAUUUACUUUUCUAUGUUUCUCAAACAAAUGUUUGACAGUUCAACAUUUUAAAUAUGCUAAACGUUCCCGCAGGAUAGAAGUGGUCCGUUAAACACCGAGGAGCAGAGUGGGAAGAGAUUCACACAAAAAAACAAUGUGAUUCUACAUUUGAAGGUCCAGUUUACUCCCCAAUGAGGGACCCUCCCUCUUUGUGUACAGUUUGUAUAUUUAUAUUGAUUCUCCAUGUUGACACUGUGACUGCUCGUGUAUCACAGGCAACGCUGGUCUAGAAUCAAUGCAGAAUCUAUUGGACCCGCGUGUGAUGGAGUCACGUUCUCAGAACAUCAAGUUUAAAUAAGUAAGGAAAGGAGGAAGUACUAAAAGAUGGAGCGUUCUGCAGCGCACUGUAAUGUGAUGGAAAGUAAUAGUUGUUAAAACAAACACGUCAUUGAGUAGAUAUUUAGAUGCUGGUUGCACACUUCGUUUUUUAAUGUACAAAAUCUGGAAUGCGUAUAAUGUGUUACAAACAUGCAAUAAAAGUGCAUCUGUGAGAAGCACGUGUUCAGUCAGGUGGUCCUGGUU
ensembl:lncRNA